CCAGUAUCACGCUAAAGCGUGUAAUAGACACGCUGGUCCACUAGAGGAUGCGUGUCAAUGUCACGCUUUGCCUCCUCAAGGCGUGAAAAUGACACGCAUUUAUGAGGAUGAUAACCAAUAGGGGGCGAUAAUUUCUUAUUGCCAACAACUUCAACAAGAGAAGCGACGCAGUGAUAUGCGUUCUCUGGAGCUCCAUGGGUAAGGCUUUCUUGGAAAUUUGGUGAUUAAUGUUACUAAAAUUGAGUAAAUCCUGUGUUUAUGUUAAGUCUUUGUUGCAACGUUAGCAAUAUAAUAUCACCGCUAAGGCAACAGACAAGUCAGUGCACGCGUUUGGUCAGAAUCCAAUUGGCUCAUAUUUAGGACAUAAUUGUUUGUUCAGGUGCGGUCAUUUAAGAAAUCCUAAAGUUGGUGCAGCAUAACAUUUAAUUUGCGUGUGUGGACUAUGGAGUUAUCUAUAGUGGUUUUUACGUUACUAAGGUCAGAAACAUUAUUGGAUGACUGUUUGAUAAUCAGCUAAAGUUAAUGUAUUAAUCACAGAAAGCUGCAGUGACUGCAUUAUAUUAUGUUGCUAAACAGUUGUUCUGGCGUUUUUAAACCAGUAGUUUUAUUAAUUUCGCGCGGAAUGCAGUUCGUGAAAUAAGCUCUAAAUGAAAAAAUAACCGAUUUAAGUAAAUAAUUGUGUUCAUUGUAAAUCUGCUCAUCUAAACAUACAAGGCGGAACCAAUCGAUCACAGAGAGCGAUCGCUGCUGACACCGUCAGCAGCACUUACAUUCAGAUUACAAGAAUAUUUCACAUUAUUACAUUCAGAUUACAAUAAUAUUUCACAUUAUAAGUGUUUUUAUAUCAAAUAAAUGCAGCCUUGGUGAGCAGAAUAGAUUUAUUUAAUUAUUUAAUAUUAUUUAUAUAAUAAGGCUAGUUUGUGCAGUUACAUCUAUGUCAAUUGAGCGUUAGAAGGGAUUAAAAUUGAUUGUGUUAUGUUCUGUAAUUGUUGUUAAUAAAUCUGUCAGAAGAAAGUGUGUAAAAGUUUGACUACAGUAACCAUAUCUAACCAAGCUUCAAGUACCAAGAUAAUUAUUUCAUUUAUUUCUCUGAAGUCAGAUCAACUGUUCAUUUAUGCAGUUUAUGCUUUAUUUAUAGGUAGCAUAACUGUUACCUUUUUUUACAGUUCUGCAUAUAUAAUAUGACAAACCUAGGAGACUUUGCUGUAAGAGAAUUAAUCAUGUUUUUGUUUUCUUUUCUCAGGUCCGGUCAGUACCCACCACCCUUCCCUGUUCACCCACAGUUUAUACUUUUUCUUAGAAAACCAACGGCUCUUUUAAGAGCCACUUCAAUAGACCCUUUUACAGCCCACGUGAUCAAAUAGCCUGCGUGCGCAUUUUGGCAACGGAAGUGAUGUUAUUUCCCAGUGGUUCUAACGUGUAAGCAACUCAGAAAGUUUAUUAAAACGAUUUCCCCACAUCAAAACGUCUGGUUGUAGCAUUUGGUUGCACUAAUAUAAUAUACGUUUAGUAUUUGGCCAUCUUCUAACGUCUUCUAUCCACUCCACUAUAGUACACGGAUCUGGUAACUGUGUAGAAGAUAAGUCAACUUUUUAAACUAACUUUCUCUGUCUGUGUUGCUUCACUGCUGAUUCUUGCCAUGCUUCCGUUGCCAAACUGCGUGCGCAUACGUUGCCACGUCAUCAUUGUGUACAAACAGUAAAAGGGUCACUCACUCACUCUUUCGCAAGCUUCUCUGUUUUCAAUAUUGUUGAAAUGGCUGCUGAGCAAGACAGAGGGAGAGCAGAGGGUGUUAUUUUCAUAGCAGACAUGCUUCUUGCUCAAAUCAAGUAUUACCAUACAAGGCACACUUUCUUUUAUGCAAGGCAGAGGAACCCAAGGGCAAAGCAACAGCCAUUAAAGGGAGUACAUUUAAUGUCAGAUAGGUGGAGAAAAUGCUGAAGGAGGUCCACUACUAAAAAGCAGCAGAAGUGAAGAGAUACAAAGCUUCAGCUACAGUCUGUUUAUUGCCUACAGUGAGACCUCCACAUUUCUGCACUUGUGAUCAUGCAAACAUCCAGUGUAGAGCACUUCACCUGCCCGGCAUGUACACCCAACAAUGCUCACUCUUUGUGCAGAUGGCAACAGAAAAACCUACAGAUUCCGUCAGUCAAAAGAAAGGAGCUUCAAGCAGCCACAAACGGAGAGUUCUUUUGAACAGAUAUUGCUUGCAAGUAUUGGCCAUACCUUGAGAAGGCGUCAGUCUCCAUGUUGGAACUCAGACCUUUACUGCAGAUGAGACCUUUCCUUUCUGUCAUGCAUGCCAAGGCUCAUUCAACCAAGUGUCAGGUGUCACACAUUUGUUAGAUAAUCUGGCAAAAAUCAGGAAGGUGCUGGUACAACUGCAGUUGAGGAGGUCAAAAUGGUCAACAGCUACCUGUCUCGUUGUGGCCUCACAACCAAGUAUCUAAUUGAUGCCUAUUUAUAAUAUUUUAGGAAACCUGUCUUUAUUUUUUCACUUUUUUAUUCUUUCUGUCUAGUACUUUGAGAUUGCAUAAGAGUAAGCUGUAACUGUUCAAAGUACAUAAAAAAUUGGCAUGUAGUUCUCUCUUAAAUUUUAAACUCAAUUGUCAGUUUCUGGAUUAAUUGAAAUACCACAAGCAUUAAUGGGACCUUUCUUCCUUCAUCACAUACAUGUCUUGUUAAUAGCCAGGAAUGACAUGCUAACUGUCCAUGCUAUUGGGUGGAACCAACGGAAGCAAGAAGGCCUUCAGCAUUAUCCAGCAGAUACAUCAAGAAAGGCUGAGUCUCAGAGACGGGAAGAUUUGAGCAGUGAACUGGGGUGUCCUGAGAACAUUGUGAAUCAGUGGGUACAAGAUGUCAGACAAAAGGCUACUGAUGGUACCAGAUGUGAUGACCUACACAACCUUCAGAAAUGAAUUGAACAAAUGUUUCUUAGUCUUCAUCGAAAAGCCAGCAUUUAUAAUCACACUGAAUCCAGCAACACCCUCACCAAGAAGAUUUUUUUGAUGUAUACAUGUCAAAAGUGCACCUUCAAGAAGCAAAGAUCAUUGUGAUGAGGGAGAUGAGACACCACUGCACCGCACCUAUCUCAGAAGCCUGGCUAGGAACAUCAGGAAAAUGAUUUCAGAAAUGUCUUCAGGCAAAAACAGUGGCAGUAUAAGUGAAGAGUGUCAUCGCUGGCUACUGUGUCGUCUUCAGAAAAGGCUUGCAGAUGUAGAGAAGAAGUUCUAAGUUUGCUCAAGUUACAGCCAGGCUUUAGGACAGUGUUCUUCACUCCCAACCCCGGAGAGCCGGUGUCCUGCAGACUUUAGCUCCUACCUUAAUCAAACACAUCUGAAAGCUAAUCAAUGUCUUCAUGAUCUCUAGAAAAUCACAGGUAUGCGUGUUUGAUUAAGGUUGGAGCUAAGCUCUGCAGGACACCGGCUCUCCAGGAUAGAGAGUGAAGAACACUGCUUUAGGACCAAAUGCUGUUUCUCUGCUGGAGGAUGAGCCUGAGGAGAUACUGGAGGACCACAAAGAGCUGGAUUAUGAGAGUUCAGAUGACAUUUUGGAUUUGGAACUCUGAACUGGUGUAUGCAUUUAGACUGUGUGUCACACUGAACUGCAGGUGUGUUUCAUGGAAAACAAAACUAUUUGGAAAUGUAAUGGAUGUCUGAUACAGUGCUUUUAUUUUAGACAACCGUUUCCUGCAGUCUGUAAGCAACAUUAGCCUCAUAGAUUGAUGGGAAACUACUGUUAAAUAAGUUUUUGUAUGAUAAUCCAUAUCUCCGUUUACAAGCAGCAGGUUAGCUAUUAGGUUUCCCCUCCACCUCCGAUGUUUCACAGACUACUCCUACAGUCAACUGUGUUGCUACAACUUGCAAAUGCCACAAUCCUCUUGCAGUGGUUACUUCACCAAACUGUGCCCAUAUCAUCUUGUCAACAUAAUGACAUUUACUGUAGAAAAAUGUGCAAAUCUAUUUUGCCUGUGUUACAUAUGUUACUAUUAUUGUUAUAUAGUUUUAUACUGUAUCAAGUUUUUUUCACAGUGAUUGUGGUACUUUUGGAGUGAACUAACUGUAUGUCAUUAGAUGAAAUACUUUCCAUAAGUGACUGAUCAAUAGCCUACCCAUAUUUGAUGCAUGAGUUAAUACCGUUGUUACCUUUUCAAUGAAAGGAAAUGU